ensembl:lncRNA
AGUUGUGUUUGUGGUCCCCUGACGGAUGCAAAGCCAACGGUCCCCAUCCUUUUAGCUCUGGCUUGGAUCUCCACCAACUAGCUGGAUAAGUUGCAGCCUUUUCACUGCCGGAGGGGAAAGCUAAAAGGAAAAACGGUGACGUACGACGGUUCAAACCGAGGAGCUGUUUGGUUCGAUCGGGUUCAACAGAUGGACGUGAGGCAGAACGAUCCACCGGCAAGGAAUCACACAUUCAGGGGAACGUUGGUGAUUUCAAAGCGUUGGUGCAUGAACACCGGCUCUGGUCCCGUGCUACCGAGCACCACCUGCUGCGGCUGCAGGAUGGAGUCAUCAGCGGCUACGUCUCGUCGCCCACAGCUCCAUACCGGGGAAACGAUUCAGGCCCCCCCCACCCCGUUUAAAAUCCGUACCAUUGUCUCAUGUCAGCCCGCAGACAGCGCGGUAAUGACUAAGCCCAUUCACGCCGCGUGGGGCGAACAGCAGGGGGGAUGGAGGGAAGACACACACACACACACACACACACACACACUCUCCUGUGAUGCAUUUAAAGGCUCUGGUCUUUGCGUAGCGCUGAGGCGUCUCAGUUAUCUGAUGAAACACACGAACAAACUACUGCAUUAUUGCCACGAGCAUCAUCACCACACGGUUCUCAAACUCGUCACCACGUGA